rnacentral:rRNA from 1 species
GAUGAACGCUGGCGGCGUGCCUAAUACAUGCAAGUCGAACGCAUAGCGAAAGGUGCUUGCACCUUUCAAGUGAGUGGCGAACGGGUGAGUAACACGUGGACAACCUGCCUCAAGGCUGGGGAUAACAUUUGGAAACAGAUGCUAAUACCGAAUAAAACUUAGUGUCGCAUGACACAAAGUUAAAAGGCGCUUCGGCGUCACCUAGAGAUGGAUCCGCGGUGCAUUAGUUAGUUGGUGGGGUAAAGGCCUACCAAGACAAUGAUGCAUAGCCGAGUUGAGAGACUGAUCGGCCACAUUGGGACUGGGACACGGCCCAAACUCCUACGGGAGGCUGCAGUAGGGAAUCUUCCACAAUGGGCGAAAGCCUGAUGGAGCAACGCCGCGUGUGUGAUGAAGGCUUUCGGGUCGUAAAGCACUGUUGUAUGGGAAGAACAGCUAGAAUAGGAAAUGAUUUUAGUUUGACGGUACCAUACCAGAAAGGGACGGCUAAAUACGUG